ensembl:lncRNA
CCACCACUACCACAACAGCACCCACAACAGCUCCAGAAACUACCACAACAGCUGCUGCAACUACCAUAACAGCUGUAUCAACUACCACAACAGCUGCUGCAACCACUACAACAGCACCCACAAGAGCUCCAGAAACUACCACAACAGCUGCUGCAACCACCACAACAGCUCCAGCAUCUACCACAACAGCUCCCACCACUACCACAACAGCACCUACAAGAGCUCCAGAAACUACCACAACAGCUGCUGCAACCACCACAACAGCCCCAAUAACAGCUGCAGCAAUUACCACAACAGCUACCACCACUACCACAACAGCACCCACAACAGCUCCAGAAACUAGCACAACAGCUGCUGCAACCACCACAACAGCUCCAGCAAGCACCACAACAGCUGCUGCAACUACCACAACAGCUGCUACAACCACCCCAACAGCUGCUGCAACUACCACAAGAGCUGCAUCAACUACCACAACAGCUCCAGCAACCACAACAACAGCUCCAGCAACCACCACAACAGCGGCUGCACCUACCACAACAGCUGCUGCAACCACCACAACAGCUCCAGCAACUACCACAACAGCUCCAGCAUCUACCACAACAGCUCCAGAAACUACCACAACAGCUGCUGCAACCACCACAACAGCACCCACAACAGCUGCCACCAUUACCACAACAGGUCCCACCACUACCACAACAGCACCCACAACAGCUCCAGAAACUAACACAACAACUGCUGCAACUACCACAAAAGCUACUCCAACUACCACAACAGCUGCUGCAACCACAACAACAGCUCCAGCAACCACCACAACAGCUGCUGUAACUACCACAAUAGCUAUUGCAAGUACCACAAGAGCUCCCACAACAGCUGCUGCAACCACCACAACAGCCCCCAUUACAGCUACAGCAAUUACCACAACAACUACCACCACUACCACAACAGCACCCACAACAGCUCCAGAAACUACCACAACAGCUGCUGCAACCACCACAACAGCUGCUUCAACUACCACUUCAGCUGCAGCAACUACCACAACAGCCACUGCAACCACCACAACAGCACCCACAGCAGCUCCCACCACUACCACAACAGCUGCUGCAACUACAACAACGGAAGCCACAACAGAACCCACAACAUCUGCCACCACUACCACAAAGGCCCCUACAACAGCUGCUGCAACCACCACAACAGCCCCCAUUACAGCUGCAGCAAUUACCACAACAACUACCACCACUACCACAACAGCACCCACAACAGCUUCAGCAACUACCACAACAGCUCCUGCAACUACAACAACGGAAGCCACAACAGAACCCACAACAUCUGCCACCACUACCACAAAGGCCCCUACAACAGCUAUUGCAAGCACCACAACAGCCCCCUUUACAGCUGCAGCAAUUACCACAACAACUACCACCACUACCACAACAGCACCCACAACAGCUUCAGAAACUACCAAAACAGCUGCUGCAACUACCACAACAGCUCCAGCAACCACCACAACAGCUGCUGCAACUACCACAAGAGCUACUAAAACCACCACAAAAGCUGCUUCAACUACCACAACAGCUGCAGCAACUACUAAAACAGCUGCUGCAAAAACCACAACAGCACCCACAGCAGCUCGCACCACCACCACAACAGCUGCUGCAACUAAAACAACGGCAGCCACAACAGAACCCACAACAUCUGCCACCACUACCACAAAGGCCCCCACAACAGCUGCUGCAACCACCACAACAGCCCCCAUAACAACUUCAGCAAUUACCACAACAGCUACCACUACUACCACAACAGCUCACGCAUCUACCACAACAGCUCUCACAACAGCUCCCACCACUACCACAACAGCUCCACAAACUUACACAACAGCGGCUGCAACCAACACAAUAGCUAUUGCAAGUACCACAACAGCUUUAGCAACUACCACAACAGAACCCACAACAUCUGCCACCACUACCAUAAAGGCCCCCACAACAGCUGCUGCAACCACCACAACAGCCCCCUUUACAACUGCAGCAAUUACCACAACGACUACCACCACUACCACAACAGCACCAACAACAGCUCCAGAAACUACCACAACAGCUGCUGCAACCACCACAACAGCUCCCGCAACUACCACAACAGCUCCAGAAACAACCAAAACAGCUGCUACAACCACCACAACAGCACCAGUAACUACCACAACAGCUGCUUCAACCACCAAAACAGCUCCAGCAACCACCACAACAGCUGCUGCAACUACCACAACCGCUCCAGUAGCCACUACAACAGCUGCUGCAACUACCACAAGAGCUACUGCAACCACCACAACAGCUGCUUCAACUACCACAACAGCUGCAGCAACUACCACAACAGCUGCUGCAACCACCACAACAGCACCCACAGCAGCUCCCACCACUACCACAACAGCUGCUGCAACUACAACAAUGGCAGCCACAACAGAACCCACAUCUGCCACCACUACCACAAAGGGCCCCACAACAGCUGCUACAACUACCACAACAGCUGCGGCAACUACCACAACAGCCCCCACAACCACCACGACCAACACAACAGCCCCCACAACAGCACCCACCACGACCACCACAACAGCCCCCACAACAACCACCACGACCACCACAACAGCCCCCACAACAACAACGAAUGGCACAGCCAUCAGCGGCAGCAACUCUGGUGACGUCAGCAGCAGGAUCAGCCUCUUCACCACCUUCAGCCUCACCCUCCUCUCCGUGCUCGUCACACGGCCGUGGUAGCCG